ensembl:lncRNA
UUUUUUUUUUUAAAUCCUCAGCUGAGCUGCUAAAAACAAUAUUCCAAGAAUGUACUUAAAGAUUUACAAUAUUUUUAGCUGUAUUGUAUUUAUGCAUUUCAAAGAAACGUUAAUUACCACAUAAGCACACAGAGAAAUACUUUCAGAGUAUUUUAUUUAUUGCAAAUUCCUCUCAUUCUACAGACACAGUGAUCAAUAAAGAAGAGAAGCAUGAAUCUUCUUUAGGACACAAAGCAGACUACUUUUAAAAAAAAUGGAAGUACAAAAUCCAGGCAAUCCUUGACCUGUGACUGUUACAGGUGAAAGUGCAAGUUAAUUAAGUUUGUGUUUGUGGCAGCCAAGUAUACACCUCCCUUCACAACAGGACAGCGCCAGGAAAAAAAAAGCAAUCCUGCUGAAACAACAUGUGCUAGAGCUAUUUCACUGCAUGCUGGUAGACACCCCUACCCCGAGGCUUUCUUCCUCUUGGCCACUGGACUCCCACUGAAUGAUGGGGAAAAGUAAAAAGUUGCCUGCGCCUGCUUUCUGUUGGACAAAGCGCUGAAGUUACAAGCAAUGCUGACAAUAUUUUUCUUAAAUAACAGAAUAACUGGAGCUUGAAAUUAAAGUGUGGGGAAUGUGAGAGCCUCCAAAGGGAAGCAGAGGAGAAAUAUAGAAGGAUCUGGCUUCCCACAACAAUUCUCACACUUCUAAAAAUACAUAAGGCUGCCUCGCUCUGUGAGCCCAACACUUAACAUACACUUCAGAUGAGAUAUGCAGCACCUGGCUGCCUUAACACCUUUGUCAGCUCAUUACCAGAUAUCUAAUGCAUUUUUAUUUCACUUUUGCUGCUGUUAAAAUUUAGGCCAUGAGGGGACGAUCCUCUCCAAGGCACUGCUUUUUAUCCUAUAGCCUCCUUGCCAUUUUGGACAAGAACAUGUUAUGAAAGAGUAUCUUUGAAAUAAAAAAUAAAAUGAGAGCCAGUCGGUAGCCAGGCAGCACAGAUGUCUCCAUAAGCAGUUCACAACUGAUGGUCAUCAAUCAUCCUAGAAGAGCUCAAACACAUUCAUAUAUAUCACACAGAGACACUCAUUAUUGAAAGGUCACUUUGUGCCCCUCCCCCCAGCAUAACAAAGCUUGUCAAAGUGAGGUGUUAACAGAAGAUGUGAGAAUAAAUUAUUAAUCUUAGAUAGCCAACAUAUGUUGUUCAAAUCUGGAAAAUGCCCUGAGCACACCUAUAUCAGUUAGGAUAUUUUUCUGACACAGCUACUCAGGCCUCCAAGCCCUGAGAGUGAACCUACAUUGCCAAACAAGGGCAAAAGUUCAGCACCAGCAAAGAAAGAGUAAAUCAUCAAUAUGACUUCCAAGACACCUGUGGUUCCUUUUCCUUUCCAAAACCAGCAAGGAGAUCAAGACUCAUGCAAUUUAAAAAAUGGUACUAGCAGAGCUACGAGGUCUUUACCACCUCUCUAAAGUCAUUUUAACCAAUGUAACUCUCUCUCUUUACAGAUGCAGACCACUUUUUUUUUUUUUUCCCCUAUUUAAAUCUUAAAAUGCUGUGAGUAGCAGCCUGGAGAAUAUACAACAAAUGUAUUUGAAACAGCUUAGAAAAUACAGGUACUUUCUGCAAAUGAUAAUCUGAUUCUAUCUGCUGUCCCACCUGAGGACAAGUGAGUGAGCAGCUGUGCGGGGCUGAGCUGCCUUCUGGGGUUAAACCACAACAAUGGCACUGUCAAAAAAAAUUAGAUUUGUUUGUUUUAAAGUGACUACCACAACAUCAGAGAGAGAUCUUCACUCUCAGGUCUUUUGCUAUGCGUUUAUAUAUUCCAUGUUACAUGCACUCAUGCAUUCUCCAAAAGAACACCAGAGAUCACCAAGUCUUCUCUACACUUUUCACUCUCUAAUCCAAUAGCACUCACCACAACCUUCCCUUUAGUAUUUCCCCAGUUCUCUUCUCUUUAAGCUGACAAGCCAGUUUGCAUUUUCCAGAUUACAAAAACACCGAAUUACAUUAUAGAUUCCAGAGAGAUGUUGAGAACCAAAUGACAUUUCGCUAGAGGGCAAAACAUUUGUAGCCUUACACAAACACUUCAUAAUCAAACAAUUGCUUUAACACGCUUGACUCAGGUUAUAAGUUGUAUGAAAUCUAAUAUAUCACAUUGCCAGUACAGAUACAGGAACUAUGCUCCUUGUUUUUUACAUCACUUUUCAGAAUCAUUUCUUUACUUCAUUAGAGAGCACAGGUCACUGGAGCCUAAUGUGAGCAGGCUGCAAAUAUGCCAUGUGCCAAAACGCAACAAAUCACAGCAUGCACUGCUUCACAAUUUUACUUCUAAGUAUAUUGUAAAGCUUAUCAAUGAUUUUUUUAUUAUUAUUACUAGAAAGUAAUGGUUUCUCUACCUGUAGCAAUUAUUUCCUUCACUGAGAGUGAAGUGCCUCAGUAUCUUGCAAAACCUAGCAAAGUGCCUAGGCUAUGCAUGCAUGUAAUACAAAUAUCACAUUCAUAGGUCCAAUUAUUCCACAACUGUAAUGUGAAUUAACUUUAUAAUCUCUUAUCUAAUGGUAUACUACAAACACAUGGAAACAAGACAUGAUUACAGACUACCUCCCCCCGUGCUUGUGUUAAAUGCUCAACACUAUUCAUAAAAGCAGAAGCCUUUUUGUUACCUUGAUUCUUUAAAGUUAUCAUACUCAAUCCUUUGAAAAGGUUACUGCUGUUUAUGUUAUCCAUGAAUAGUGUUCCAGAAAGAAUGAAUAUGUCUAUGGCCUGCUCCAUGUUCAUGCAAAGUUCCAGACCUGUUGGUGAAAAACAAAGUACUGCUCGCUGCACAAAUUUUGGGGUGUGCGUAUUAAUCAAAUAGGAGUGGAAGGAAUAGUUAGUCUCAAACUAGAAAGUAACAUUUGUGGAGGCAGCAUUAAACUACAUGUCAAUAAAACGUCUAUAAUCACAUGAGAGAUGCAGUGAGUGCACAUGCACUGUAUAACAAGAAUAAUGAUCCCACACAAGAUUUUCCUUUUUAGCAUGGAGGCACUCACCUAACCAGAAAGGCAACAGCUAAAAGUGGUAUUAGGCCUUAAUUAACAGAUUUUGCCUUUAAUUAACCUGAUUUUGCUUUCAUCACAUUAUUUUAUACCAUUACAACCAACAAGCAAACAUUAAACUAUCAAUUUGUGUUUUGCAAAGUGUUGGAAUAAAUAUUUACAUGUAAAGUUUCCUCAAAUCAACACGGCCAGUACUCAACAAUAUAGGGCUGCCUUGCACAGAUACAUUUAUUGGGGUUGUGGAUACCUCCAAUGCUGGAUUUGGCAUACAAACUAUAACCUGCAGUUUUCUGCUGUUCUGUGCUCAGUGUACUUUUGUAAAUGUUGUUUCCACUUGCAAUACAUCCACCCAUUCAUAGCUGAAAUAAACAAAGAAAUACAGACUUUGAGAAAGUUUUUCCCCAUUAAGACUUCUCAAUUUUUCACCAGGUCUUCCUGACAUUUUAGACCAGCAGAGGCAUCCAUUCAGCCAUCGAUACACAAGCACAGUAUAUGAAGUACAGUACAGAGCCUGCAGAGGAACACUUUCUUUUUUUUAAUCACAGUAGACAAAGAAAAGAGUUCCUCCAGAUAAGCUAAUCUUUCUUCCUGAUAACAGAAGCCUAGCAAAGCCAGCCAACAAAACUGGAUCCUCAGGUUAUACACAGUCCCUUAAACUCAGGGGUUUUUUAGCUUAUGUACAAGGAGAUCCAGCUCUGAAGUGAUAUCUGUAGUUACAUGUAAGAAAAUACUAAUUAGCCUUUUGUAAAAGUGUCUUAGGUGUGCGUAACCUAUACUCUGUACACACAAAAAUCAGUUUACAUUCACUUCUGAGUGAAAGCAACUUUAUCACACUACAGAGCAAAGUGAUAGCUCUUCUCAUCUUUUCCCACUCCUUCUACAUGUGAAUAACAAAGCACUAUGUUUCAUAAUUCCCUAAAAGACUGAUGGCUCCAAUUUAAACCAAAGAGAAAGUGGUUGCACUGAUACUGGACUUCAAGAGAUGAAGUUUGUGUGAUAUGAGAACAGAAAUGUUCAAGUAGUCUGUUCCAAAUUUAAACAAAGUGGUUUUACCAUGAUUUUCAAUAUGAGUACUGACUUCUCAAUCUAAAUUAUAUACUUGUGCAUUUUGCUUAAUAAUAUGAAAUCGCAGGCAUUUGCUUCAGCUUUUUAAACUACCUAACAAAAAGCAGUUAAUUGUGUUACAUCACUAUGAUAAAAAAUAGCAACAAGAAGCAUAAAUGUUUGUUACUUUUACAGCUGACAGCUUUGACAAAGAAAGAAGUCUUAAAUCUGCAGAGUGUUUGUACAACUGCCUAAAUUUGCAGAAGAUCCAUGUUUUAAUAGGUUAAUCUUUAUUAUUAAAUAUCUUAUAUGAUAGAAGUACAACCAUCUGUAGUGGCAGACAAGAAAUUCUGCUUUUCUAGGCAGUGUAGAUUAGGGAUAUAGAACAGCUUUCAAAACGAACACUUGGCCCCAGUCAGUAAAUUGGUUUUACUUACUUUACUGUGCUCUGACAGAACUCUUCCCAGUUCGUUUUAUUCCUCAAAGCUGACAGGAUCAGCUUUUGGUUUGCACUAAGUGAAUCGCACCUCCCUUUGUUCCACUUUGGUGGCUUAUCUGCAGGUAUAUUAUUUUCUCUGAUCCGAUAUCAAAUGAAGCGAAUGAAAUACAGCUCUUCAUCAGUCUCCUUACUGAGGGCAAAAUUUCAGAUGCAGAAUAAACAAUGACUGCAUGACAUAAUGGGGCCUUCAUGCAUGACACAGCUAAACCAAAACUGAAUCAAAGCAAAAUAUAUCUUUAUCCAACCAUAGCUGGAAACAGGAAAUUUUUCUCAGAAAACAAGAACAGCAUAUUAAUCAUCCUGAAAUCAAUGGAAAAGUUUAAAAAGAUACUCUUCUGACUCAAAUAUUUUAAUCUUUAGGAUGAUUUCUAGUUGAUAUACGUAAGUUAUACAAUUACACCUCCUGCACAAAGUCAGACUACACGAGAGGAUCACAAGGGUCCAUUUUCAAUGGGUUAUCCAUGAAAUACUGAAGGUACCAAAGUAUGGUUUUAUGCAGCAUUUAGAGGCUUUUGAAGCAAGAGAACAACUCCUUUCAUCCUGGAAGGCUUUAGUAAAAGGUCAUCAGCUUGAAAGUCAAUGGCUAUUUUAAUUCCUCAAUAUAUACAUGUUAACAUUCGGAAAGUUUAUGUAUGUAGCAUUUAAUUUUCAGAAUCCGUAGCAAUCUGCUGCUUAUACCAAAUACUUCGUAUUUGUACGUAUUCAGAAACUCAUUAAUAAGAAACUACAGUAAUGGGUCACAGUAGUCUGCAUGAAUUGACAUAAACAAGUCUGAUUCGUACAUAAGCUAUACAUAACAUACUAACAAUUUUAAAAUCACCUGGCAGUUCAGAACCCAAAGUAUUGAGGCCUAACAUUACUUUAGUCCCUCAUUCAUUUGUUUUUAGAAAGAAUUAUGAAAAAUAUAAUGAUUUUUGUUCCUAUUGGUUUCAUGUAAGAUAUUACACAGCUCAAUGUUAAAUCUUUACUUCAUUGGCCUACCAACCUUCACUUCAGUGACCUAACAAUCCUGUCACAAACGACUGCUAUUAGAGAAAAACAUUAAAACUGCCAGCAUUCACAGACUACUGUGGAUACAGAGCAUUCUAAGGAGAAGUUAAUACAAUUCACAGUUAAUACCCUCUAUUUUACGCCAUUUGUUUUUUUCAGGAUUGUACCUUAAAGCCUUCAAUCAGGGUUACACCUCUAAAGCCUUAGCAUCACAAAGUCUGACUUUUCUCUGGAUUUUCCUAUGGAGAACUUCCUGUUCUUCUAGACCUAACCACCCUUCUUAAAGCAUUUUUUUUUCCAAUGUUUUAUUACUGCUGAAUGUGAUUCAAAAGGGGCCCAUCUGCUCUGGCUAUAUCAUCAAGAGAGUUCUGCACUUUCACACAGCUGCUGAGCUUUUUGUCCCCACGCAGAAGCUGGAAUUGCUCCACUCGCCCCUCCUUGCACAGAAAUGACGUAAAGUAACUGAUAGAUCCAAAAAACUUUUGCAAGUUUCUUUCUAUACUGACGGCCUAUCUAUACAGCAAAUUCUUCUCCCCACCUCCACCCCUACCCAGCUCCCUUUUCAUAUGGACAUUAUGUGUUCCCUUAAUAAAAAGGCACCAUAAAACUUGAGAGAGUGGUUUUGCAAUGGAAAGAAAAAAGAAAUCCUAUCAAAUACAUUCACCUUAUUUUAAAUUCCAUUAAACUGUUCAAGAAGCCUGAAGGGGUGAUUAAUUCAAUUAAAAUCUGAUGACUGCUGAAGCACUUUCUUCAGGAUUUUUAACAUUUCGUGAAAUUUUAAAGUGAUUUAACCUCUAUUUAAUUCUGUAAAUACUAAAAGGUAACUAUCUGCAAGCAUAGCUUUGAAGUUCACAUAUACCAUAAACCAAACGAAAAUACUUGG